AGUGAACGCUGGCGGUAGGCCUAACACAUGCAAGUCGAACGGCAGCACAGUAAGAGCUUGCUCUUACGGGUGGCGAGUGGCGGACGGGUGAGGAAUACAUCGGAAUCUACUUUUUCGUGGGGGAUAACGUAGGGAAACUUACGCUAAUACCGCAUACGACCUACGGGUGAAAGCAGGGGAUCUUCGGACCUUGCGCGAUUGAAUGAGCCGAUGUCGGAUUAGCUAGUUGGCGGGGUAAAGGCCCACCAAGGCGACGAUCCGUAGCUGGUCAGAGAGGAUGAUCAGCGACACUGGAACUGGAACACGGUCCAGACUCCUACGGGAGGAAGCAGUGGGGAAUAUUGGACAGCGGGCGCAAGCAUGAUCCAGCCAUACCGCGUGGGUGAAGAAGGCCUUCGGGUUGUAAAGCCCUUUUGUUGGGAAAGAAAAGCAGCAGGUUAAUACCCCGCUGUUCUGACGGUACCCAAAGAAUAAGCACCGGCUAACUUCGUG
rnacentral:rRNA from 1 species